rnacentral:rRNA from 1 species
GUACACGCUGUGACUAGCAUAUCAAUAAGCGGAGGAAAAGAAACUAACAAGGAUUCCCCUAGUAACGGCGAGUGAAGCGGGAAGAGCUCAAAUUUGAAAUCUUAAAGGGUUUCCCUUUACGAAUUGUAGUUUAAAGAAGUGUUUUCUGUUGAGGUUUUGGUAAAAGUUCUUUGGAAUAGGACAUCAUAGAGGGUGAGAAUCCCGUAUUUGACCUUUACUUUCUACUUUGUGAUACACUUUCAAAGAGUCGGAUUGUUUGGGAAUGCAGUCCAAAAUGGGUGGUAAAUUUCAUCUAAAGCUAAAUAUUGGCGAGAGACCGAUAGCGAACAAGUACCGUGAGGGAAAGAUGAAAAGAACUUUGAAAAGAGAGUUAAACAGUACGUGAAAUUGUCAAAAGGGAAGCGUUUGACACCAGUGUUGUUUUUCUGAAAAUCAAUUAAAGAACUGUUUAUGCUAAGCUGUUUAGACUUUAUCAGCUAAUCUGUUUAGUUUUGAGCUUUUCUUUAAUGCACUUUUCAGUUAACAAGUCAACAUCAAUUUCUUUUGCUGUAAAAAAGCUUGAGGAAGGUGGCUUGAGAUUCGUCUUAAGUGUUUAUAGCCUCUUGCCUAUGCAGUCGGAGAGAUUGAGGUCUGCAGCGUAGAUCCUUCGGGGCUAAAUGCAUUUGUGCUAAGUUAUAGCAUUUUAUAGACAACUUGUUGACUAUGAUUUGUCUUGUAGCUUACUCGCUUAUGUUAUUUUACCUACGCUUAGGAUGUUGACGCGCGUGUGUGCGUG